rnacentral:tRNA from 1 species
GGCUCGGUAGCUUAGUUGGUAAAGCACUUGUCUAGCGAAUAAGGUCCGUGAGUUCAAAUCUCACCUGAGCUG